rnacentral:tRNA from 1 species
GUCACGAUAGCUUAAGUGGUAGAGCAGCGGUGUUCCAAGCCGAAGAUCGUGGGUUCGAAUCCCGCUCGUGCCA